CGGACGGGUGAGUAAUGUCUGGGAAACUGCCUGAUGGAGGGGGAUAACUACUGGAAACGGUAGCUAAUACCGCAUAACGUCGCAAGACCAAAGAGGGGGACCUUCGGGCUUCUUGCCAUCGGAUGUGCCCAGAUGGGAUUAGCUAGUAGGUGGGGUAACGGCUCACCUAGGCGACGAUCCCUAGCUGGUCUGAGAGGAUGACCAGCCACACUGGAACUGAGACACGGUCCAG
rnacentral:rRNA from 1 species